CUCCACCUUCUUCUCUUUCUAUGGAUACCUGCUGUUUUACAAAGCUACUAAAAGUGCCUUGCAUGGAUAUGGUCUGAGGGCCAAGUUCAUCUGCAUUAUUGUGGUCUUGGUCCUCUGUGGACUUCAGAGUGGCAUUCUUGAGACCAUGGGUGCUCUGAACGUUGUUCCCUGUUCACCACCUUUCUCAGCGCUCAUGAGGUCUCAGUUAAUCUACCACUACUGUGUUAUUGUGGAGAUGUUCUGUAUCAGUCUCUUUGCUCGAAACAUAUUCCGCAAGGUAGAGCCGACCACAGAUGAAGGGUUUGGAGUUGAGGGCCUACAGCUGGAGAAGUCUGUUCAAACCGAGGAGGUUUUGCCCCUUGCGGUGCAGCUCAGCACAUCAUCUGAAGACCAGUGGAUUGGUUGGACUGCAGGUAGUGCAUCCAACCCAGGCUACAACAGUGACAGUGAGGAAAGCCUUUGUCGAAUUGAACAUGCACCACUGGACCGGUUCCCUUUUCCAUUGACAUCUAGACACACAGAGGAGACGAACGAGGGAAAGGCCUCCACAGAGGACUUGGAGCUGUCCACGGUAACCGUUACGGCUCAGAUCAAUUAUGAUAAGGGUAGCAAUGCCACUGUGGUGUAGCAAGAGGACACUGAAAUUUUUUUUAAGAUAACGUAGUCAUCAGUUCUUAUAUAUUAAUCUGAUGUAUCGGAGAUCUGUAUAUUAUUGUACAAACCAUCACCAACCCUGCACUGACACCAUUUGCAGGCUCACUCUACCCUGGAAGGGCGUCCCUCUCUGUAUCCCUCCUUCCCGAGGUUUCUGCCUUUCUUUUCUUCUCUCAAGGAGUUUUUCCUUGUGUGCAGAAGGGUCAAGUGUGGGGGGUGUCAACUGUAGGGCCUGUCAAAGCCCAUUGAGACGUACUGUAUGUGAUUUUGGGCUAAAUAAGAAAUAACUGUUGUUGUUCUUGUUAUAUUAAACUACGAUGACUAUGAUGCCUAAUAAAGUUGCACCCUGUUGGACUGUAGCUGCUCA
rnacentral:lncRNA from 1 species